rnacentral:rRNA from 1 species
CCUACGGGAGGCAGCAGUCGGGAAUAUUGCGCAAUGGAGGAAACUCUGACGCAGUGACGCCGCGUGCAGGAAGAAGGUUUUCGGAUUGUAAACUUCUUUAGACAGGGAAGAAGCAAGACAGUACCUGUAGCAUAAGCUCCGGCUAACUACGUGCCAGCAGCCGCGGGAAUACGUAGGGAGCAAGCGUUAUCCGGGUUUAUUGGGUGUAAAGGGUGCGUAGACGGGGAAUUAAGUUAGUUGUGAAAUCCCUCGGCUUAACUGAGGAACUGCAACUAUAACUGAUUUUCUUUAGUGUUG